rnacentral:rRNA from 1 species
UGCCAGCCGCCGCGGUAACACGGGGGGCGCAAGCGUUAUUCGGAAUUAUUGGGCGUAAAGGGCGCGUAGGCGGAAUGUCAAGUUAGGGGUGAAAGGCCUGGGCUCAACCUAGGAACUGCCUCUAAAACUGAUGAUCUAGAGUUCGGAAGAGGAUGGUGGAAUUCCCAGUGUAGAGGUGAAAUUCGUAGAUAUUGGGAAGAACACCGGUGGCGAAGGCGACCAUCUGGUCCGACACUGACGCUGAGGCGCGAAAGCGUGGGGAGCAAACAGGAUUAGAUA